UUUUUUUUUCAAACAAACAAUAAAACUGUUUUUGUGGUUUAAUGUUUCUGAAACAGUUUUGAAACAUUUAACACAGAAAAGAUUAUAGGAUGUGGAUGAGUGCAUCUAACUAAACAGACUCUUAAAAUAAUCCCACCAGUUCACACUGAAUGCAUCUGGUGAACAUGUCAUCACAGUGUUGUCUUCAGUGCAGUAGUACUGCUCCUGCAGAUACUUCCUGUCACAUUUCUGUCCUGUAGACUUAUCACUCAGACAGGCAUUAAAGUGAACGGUGGCUUUAAACCUGGAAGAGAGGAGCACCAGGGACAGAGCCAAGCAGACGACAGAGAACGGGACACUUUCACUCUCUGCUGGGAGGCUGAACGGGAUGACGAUGCGGUUUCGUCCUGGUGGACCAUAUUUUGUUGAGAGAGACUUAAAUUUUUUCCACACUCCUUCAUCUUCCUGCAGAGGGCUAACAAUGAUGUUUGGGAUCUUCCGUCCUCCAGCUUUCUUCAGUGAGUUCCAGUAGUUUGGCAGGUUCAGGGGUUGAUGUGUAUCAGGAGUAAUUUUACCGUCUUUUUCUUUUCUAUGGUAAAAAACUCUGUGCUGUGGCCUCAUUUUUCCUGUUGCAAUGCCAUAGGUUACAUCACCAGUGGUGCCACAGUUCCAGGGAGAGUACAGGACCAGGUCAGUGAUGGUGGGCAGAGGCAGCAAACACUUGGCUGGGAUCAUGGAGUCUCUGAUUGCUCCAUGUGCCACAAAGAUUAUGUCAACAGUGUCAUCAUGGUUCUUCUUUUCUUCCUCAUCAAUUUUACUUUUCAGGAAAUCAAACAUGUCUGAGAGUUUUCUGAAGGUGCCAGACUCUGAAUUUUCUCUCAGCCACUGCAGGACAGUUUCAUCUUUGCAGUUUUCUAUUGCAAGGUUUAUUAAUCUUUUCCUUUCAGCAGAGCUCCUGGGACUUUCAGGGCGACAUGCAGCAUUCCGAUUUGCCCU
ensembl:lncRNA